rnacentral:rRNA from 1 species
UACGGAGGGUGCAAGCGUUAUCCGGAUUCACUGGGUUUAAAGGGUGCGUAGGUGGGUUGGUAAGUCAGUGGUGAAAUCUCCGGGCUUAACCUGGAAACUGCCAUUGAUACUAUCAAUCUUGAAUACCUUGGAGGUGAGCGGAAUAUGUCAUGUAGCGGUGAAAUGCUUAGAUAUGACAUAGAACACCAAUUGCGAAGGCAGCUUACUACACAACGAUUGACGCUGAGGCACGAAAGCGUGGGGAUCAAACAGG